AUACGAUGCAGAGCCGAACAUCUCUUUUUGUUUCCUUUCUUAAUUACGAGCACAGAUGGGGACGGAGUUUUACGCCCUCAAGACUGUUUAAUCGAACGCAUGAGAGUAUGUCCGGUGGCCUUGCCUCGCCGUAAAGCCUUACGCCGAUAACUCCAGAUCUGCCUAUCCAGCCUGAACCUAGAAAACGCUUCCCUCAAGCAGAGCCCUUGAAGAAAUAGACCGCAAGCUCUGGUGAUUCGAGACCGUCGUCCUCGUUGUCGAAGGGUUUGGUUAUGGGACAGGUGACCAUUUUAAAAUGCCGCAAGACUCUUGAAUCCAAUAGAAGGAAUGAAUAUUCUGCUAACAAGACCAUAGUUUCGAGCGGGGAAGAGGAUAUGGGAUGUGAAUCUUCUACUCUGCUGUUAAGGGUUAGAGUUGGGACUGAUUGAGGCAAAGAGGGUGAGUGGCUGGUUCCAGACAACAUGAAAAAGGAUCUUCGGGUCUUGGCUUGGGUUUAUAUAAUUCGUUUGCUUUUGUAUUUGAAAAUUCAUGUCUGGACUCUGGAGAGAGGGAGAUAGAGAGAUAGAAAGAGAGCUGUUACUGUUGUGGAUGGAGAUUGGAUAAGAGAGAGAGGAGACUGACAGACAAAUUGACGACGAAGCUUUGAUGUGGAGUGGAUCUGGAUGAAAAUGCGGCAGUUUGCAAUUUGCAGUGCACCCGGGUUUGCAGAAAACAAGGAAACUGCCUCCGGUUGUUUGGUUUGGCUGAUUCAGCGCUUCACUUCCCCCACUGUGGAAUUGAAACUGGAACUUGCUUACGCGUUCCUGACACCAGUGGAAUUGGAGAGGCGUUACCAAUGAAUCGCAUGGGUGAGCUUUGGCUUCGUGGUCCCAGCGUUAUGAAAGGUAAAAGGCAAAAAGGAUGAGAUCUCAGACCCAUCCACACCCACCGCCAGUGGCUUCUGCGUUCAGUGAUAUCGCCGGUCGCAGGUGCAUGCUUUUGGUAUAGGGGUUGGCGUGUAUUUUUUUUAUCUUUUUGUGUCCGGUUCAACCGGAUUCUUUAAUAAACGUCCGUUAAGUUAAUAAA